UACAGAGGGGGCAAGCGUUAUUCGGAAUUAUUGGGCGUAAAGGGCGCGUAGGCGGCUUGGCAAGUGGAAGGUGAAAUCCCUCGGCUUAACCGAGGAACUGCCCUCCAAACUGCUUUGCUUGAGGCCGGGAGAGGCGAGUGGAAUUCCCAGUGUAGCGGUGAAAUGCGUAGAUAUUGGGAGGAACACCAGUGGCGAAGGCGGCUCGCUGGACCACAACUGACGCUGAGGCGCGAAAGCUAGGGGAGCAAACAGG
rnacentral:rRNA from 1 species